AACCUCCGCAAUGUGAGAAAUCGCGACGGGGGGAUCCCAAGUGCCAUUCUUAACGGGAUGGCUUUUCAUUAGUGUAAAGAGCUUUUGGAAUAAGGGCUGGGCAAGACCGGUGCCAGCCGCCGCGGUAACACCGGCAGCUCUAGUGGUAGCAGUUUUUAUUGGGCCUAAAGCGUCCGUAGCCGGUUUAAUAAGUCUCUGGUGAAAUUCUGUAGCUUAACUGUGGGAAUUGCUGGAGAUACUAUUAGACUUGAGACCGGGAGAGGUUAGAGGUACUCCCAGGGUAGAGGUGAAAUUCUGUAAUCCUGGGAGGACCGCCUGUUGCGAAGGCGUCUAACUGGAACGGUUCUGACGGUGCGGGACGAAAGUUAGGGGCGCGAACCGGAUUAGAUACCCGGGUAGUCCUAACUGUAAACGAUGCGGACUUGGUGUUGGGGUGGCUUUGAGCUGUCUCAGUGCCGAAGGGAAGCUGUUAAGUCCGCCGCCUGGGAAGUACGGUCGCAAGACUGAAACUUAAAGGAAUU
rnacentral:rRNA from 1 species